CAAGGAGUCAUCAUGCCAGGUAGUUCUGAGGCAUGGUCCUCCGAGAGAGAGAAAGAAAGAGAGAAUUAGAGCAUACUUAAAUUCACACAGGACCCCGGAUAAGACAGGAAAAGUACUCCAGAUAUAACAAACUGACCCUAGCCCCCCGACACAAACUACUGCAGCAUAAAUACUGGAGACUGAGACAGGAGGUGUCAGGAGACGCUGUGGCCCCAUCCAAUGAUACCCCCGGACAGGGCAAACAGGAAGGAUAUAACCCCACCCACCUUGCCAAAGCACAGCCCCCACACCACUAGAGGGAUAUCUUCAACAACCAACUUACCAUCAUGAGAGAAGGUGGAGUAUAGCCCACAAAGAUCUCCGCCACAGCACAACCAAAGGAGGGGCACCAACCCAGACAGGAAGAUCACGUCAGUGACUCAACCCACUCAAGUUAUGCACCCCUCCUAGGGACGGCAUGAAAGAGCACCAGUAAGCCAGUGACUUAGCCCCUGUAAUAGGGUUAGAGGCAGAGAAUCCCAGUGGAGAGAGGGGAACCGGCCAGGCAGAGACAGCAAGGGCAGUUCGUUGCUUCAGAGCCUUUCCGUUCACCUUCACACUCCUGGGCCAGACUACACUCAAUCAUAUGACCCACUGAAGAGAGGAGUCUUCAGUAAAGACUUAAAGGUUGAGACCGAGUCUGCGUCUCUCACAUGGGGAGGCAGACCAUUCCAUAAAAAUGGAGCCCUAUAGGAGAAAGUCCUGCCUCCAGCUGUUUGCUUAGAAAUUUACACAAAUCAGACACGGACAUUAUUGUAUUAGCUCGGUUUUACGGCUCUUUCUUUAUUUUUUUAAACAAAGGGAAAAUAAUAGGUCCUCCAGCAUAUCAUCUUCUGUGCUCCGGGGUCUUGCUGUAUCCUGUGGGGAACAAAACUAAACUCCCUCUUUUAUCUCUUGUACUGAGCAUGACUAUACAGAAGUAACCUCUCUUCCCCAGUCCCCACCCCCAUAUGCUGCCCUUUUGGCAGCUUUGUGGUACUUGUCCAGCUGGUGAGCAAUCAGCCCCUUGAUUACUCACCAACCACAAUCAGCCCCAAUUAGUCCUGGCCGGAGAGCCCUUCGAGACCUGGCACGUCCAGCAGAGAGACCCAUCGCCGCGUGAUGUCGACUCCAUCUGUCACCAGGCCUCGACAAAUCUCCCCCUGGUGGCCAACCUGCGACAUCAUCAUGAUCACCCACCCAUAUGCCACUGAGUCUGCUGUCCUGCACCUGAUGGUCAACGUACUGAAUACGCCCCAGACAGACAUGGAGGGGGAGGCCUACAAAACAGUUGUGGCGAACCUGUUUUGUUCUUUUGUAGUUUUGCAUAGUUUUCACUGUCAUUCACACACACAGAUUCACGCAUCAUGCCCUUUACAUACACCUUACAUUAUGAUACUUCCACACCUCAUUCCUUUUUCUUAGUUUAAAGUUAAUAGUUUUGUUUACAAUAAAGAACAUUUUUUAAUUGGCCUAUA
ensembl:lncRNA